rnacentral:rRNA from 1 species
GACGAACGCUGGCGGCGUGCUUAACACAUGCAAGUCGAACGGAAAGGCCCUGCUUUUGUGGGGUGCUCGAGUGGCGAACGGGUGUGUAACACGUGAGUAACCUGCCCUUGACUUUGGGAUAACUUCAGGAAACUGGGGCUAAUACCGGAUAGGAGCUCCUGCUGCAUGGUGGGGGUUGGAAAGUUUCGGCGGUUGGGGAUGGACUCGCGGCUUAUCAGCUUGUUGGUGGGGUAGUGGCUUACCAAGGCUUUGACGGGUAGCCGGCCUGAGAGGGUGACCGGCCACAUUGGGACUGAGAUACGGCCCAGACUCCUACGGGAGGCAGCAGUGGGGAAUAUUGCACAAUGGGCGGAAGCCUGAUGCAGCAACGCCGCGUGCGGGAUGACGGCCUUCGGGUUGUAAACCGCUUUCGCCUGGGACGAAGCGUGAGUGACGGUAAUGGGUAAAGAAGCACCGGCUAACUACG